rnacentral:lncRNA from 1 species
GAUGUAGCACUUCACCUUGUUAUCUUCAUCCAUCCACUUCUCAAGUGCAGCUUGUUGAUCAGUGGAUGGGCGAGCAGAAAACACAGGCACUUUAUGGUCAAGGACAUAUGUGAGUUUUUCAAAAUUGAGAAUAAUUCUUAGAUUUUAGAGCCAAUUUUUGUAAUUGGUGCCGAUCAAUCUAUUUGUAUCGAGAAUUCGGGCUAAGGGGUUUGAACUCGACAUGAUUAUCUGUAGAGAGAAUAGUUUCUAGUUAGAUUUUGUACUUAUAAGAUUGUUUAUUCUAAGAACUAUAAAAAUAAACAAAAGCUCUCACUAUUUCCUCGAAUCUCCCAAAC